rnacentral:rRNA from 1 species
AGCUUGCUCUUUCUGGAUGAGUUGCGAACGGGUGAGUAACGCGUAGGUAACCUGCCUGGUAGCGGGGGAUAACUAUUGGAAACGAUAGCUAAUACCGCAUAACAGUAGAUGUUGCAUGAUAUCUGCUUGAAAGGGGCAAUUGCUCCACUACCAGAUGGACCUGCGUUGUAUUAGCUAGUUGGUGAGGUAACGGCUCACCAAGGCGACGAUACAUAGCCGACCUGAGAGGGUGAUCGGCCACACUGGGACUGAGACACGGCCCAGACUCCUACGGGAGGCAGCAGUAGGGAAUCUUCGGCGAUGGACGGAAGUCUGACCGAGCAACGCCGCGUGAGUGAAGAAGGUUUUCGGAUCGUAAAGCUCUGUUGUAAGAGAAGAACGAGUGUGAGAGUGGAAAGUUCACACUGUGACGGUAUCUUACCAGAAAGGGACGGCUAACUACGUGCCAGCAGCCGCGGUAAUACGUAGGUCCCGAGCGUUAUCCGGAUUUAUUGGGCGUAAAGCGAGCGCAGGCGGUUAGAUAAGUCUGAAGUUAAAGGCUAUGGCUUAACCAUAGUACGCUUUGGAAACUGUUUAACUUGAGUGCAGAAGGGGAGAGUGGAAUUCC